UAAGAAGUCAGAGAUGCGGCACCCCUUUCAUCUUCCCCAACUCUCAACUCGUCCUCAACUCACCAUUAGUUCACCCGAGUUCACUCAAAAUGGUCCCCCCUCCACGUCAUUUGAUUCCCAACGGUUUUUUGUCGGUAGGAGUACGAAUUUUCUCUCCCAAAUAGCAUGAUUUCGGAUUCAAAAGGAUAAUUGUUGGACGAGUGGGAGCCGUGGAUAGAUGUAAAUCGAUCCACGCCUUCCAUUUGUCCCAAAAAUUGUUCAAAAAUCGAAAGAUUUCGGAUAUGUUGAGCAGAAGAUUCGAGAAUUUUCGAGGAUUAUAUAUAGGUGGUAAGUCUUCUUUUUCAAAGUUUGAAGGAAAAUAUAAAGAAAAUCAAAGGAAAAAAUCAUAGAGAAAAGAUCGAAAGAAAAAAUCUUCAGUAGCUGGGUCAAAAUUUUCUAAGGAAAAACUCACUGGUUCGAGUUCUUUUGAGUUAAGCUGUUUCUGGGUCUGUCGCUGCAUAUCCUGGGUUGCAUUGCUGCUUUUGAGGUGUUGAUUUCACUCUGUUGUGGUGCUGCUGUUAAGAAGCUUUAUUUGCUCAUUUGUUGGUUAUUAUACUGAUAUUAGGUAUGUGGAACUUACUUUGCAACUAUCUUCUUUUUUUUUCUUUUUUUUAAAUGACAAGUUGAAUUCUUAAUGCCAUGACUCUGCCUACUUUUACACAUUUCUAAUGUCAAAUGCUGGAUUUCUUAUCUUUUUUUUUUUCUUUACUUUUGGGAUGACGUACCUGAUUGUAUUUGUUUAUUUAAGUUGAGCACUAUUAAGCUUUUGCUAUAGUAGAAUUGAUUGCUGGAAUUUUGAGCUAAAAAUGGUAAGGUUCUGGAAGGUUGUUUGAUUUCUUUUUAGAUAGAUAAUGUUGCUGGAGUUUUAGAGGUGAUUCGUGGUCUGAGAGGGGAUUUUUUUUAAAGAGUUUUUUUUAUGUUGGAUUUAUAGGGAUUCCAUGGCUGUUUUAGAGGUAUUUUAAUGGAGAUUUUAUGGUAGUAUCAUGGCAAAAUGCUGUUGCAUUUUGGUUUAUUUACUGUUGAAAAUCUUUGCAAGGUCUGUUUGUGGUCAACUUUUCACAAUUUCAAUUCAAGUUGCAUAUUAAUCAACUUGAGUCGUUGGAGUUGUUCAAAUCUUAGUCUUUUGUUAUCCCUUUACUUGUUAUUCCUUUACUUUGAUUCUUCUUUUAUAUGUAUAAAUAAAACCUCAACUUCAUGAAUAUACCUAUAUUUUGAACCAAAACAAAACAACCUGGUUUCAGAAGAACAAGCUUCUUUGGAUAGUUCCUUUUAAAAUAAAUCGUAGCCUGUUACAAAGGAGGCAGAUUUGGCCACUGUUAGAUAAAUCUGUAGCAAAGGACUUUCUUUCUUCUCUUUAUGGAUUAGUGGCUAUUUCGUUACCUAAUAUGUUGUUCUGUUUUCUCUACAUGAAUGACCGCACAUAAAAAUGUCAAUUUGUAUAGCUAUUAAAUGUCAACAAGUUAUGUUUGCUCCUCUGUAUUGCCGGUAACUAGAUUUGAAUGAGUUCAUGUGUUGUUUUAAUAAUAUUUUGUCAUCUCCUUUAUGAGUCGUUUUUGUGGAAUGUAAAAUGAUAAACUUCAGAUUUUUUUUAGAGAUUUCUUUAGUAUUGAUGAUUCACAUGGACGAAAAAGCAAGUGAACCAUCCCAUGUGAUUGGAUUGGUUAAUAAGGGUGAAGAUAAUUUAUUAGGACAUUCUCUUAAAAGUUGAAACGCAUACAUUUGUUUCCUAUGACAAGGUGGCUAAUAUCUUGAUGUUUGAAUUACUAGAUCAACAUUGUGGCAGUAAGUGUGCCCUUUAACCAUUGAUUCUCCCAAAAUGAUCUAAGUAUUGAAUGUUAGCACUAUGUUAAGUUGAAACGUCUGAAUAAAUUCAAGGUAUAGAUUAUGCUUUAA